ACACAGAAAAAUUCAGAGAUGAUUAAUAGCCGUCUCUGAAAUGUUACUAUUUUGCCCUAAAUCUGCUACCGAUCCCACGACCCAUAAAAACCGAUUGAGAUGUGAUAAUAUUUUUAUUAUUUGCCCGAGGAUAUAAAUACCUCUUUCUCUCUCCCCAUUUUUAAUCUCUCACUUUCUCUUUUUCUUCUUCUGUUUUCUCGGCCUCUUAUGUCUUAUCCGUAUCUUCUUCAUCCAUUUCAUCCACCAAACUGAUAAAAAAACCCAGAAGAAAUCAAUUAAAUCUCUCUAGAUCUCUUAGCCAUCUUAUUCAUCCACCAAAUCGAAACUGAAAAGAAAACCCAGAAGAAAUCAAUUAAAUCAUCUGCUCUCCCGGUCUCUUAUUCAUCUUCUUCAUCGACCAAAUCGAAACUUAAAAAAACCCCGAAGAAAUCAAUUAAAUCAUUGCUCUUAAACCCUGGGUUUGUUUCUAUAAAUUAAAAGAAACACCCAUUUCCCAGUUUGAUUAAAUCAUGGGGUUUGUUUCUAUAAAUUUCUUCUAGUAAUUAGGGUUUACUGUUUGAUUUUUCUUCAAUUUUUUUCUUGUUCCUUUUGUUUGUUCAUAAGGUUAUUUUUUUUGUUCCUUUCAUGCAGAGUAUUCUCGUGAUUUAAUCCAAGGUCUCUUCUUUUUAUUGGUAGCCAUUUAGGCAUUUUUCUUAAUUAGUCUCAACAAUUUUCGAUUUAUUUUGGUUUGAUGAGUCAAGGUUCGAUUAUCAACUCUACUUGUUUUGCUAAUCUAGGAUUUGUGAUUUUGCUAUAAUCUCAGAAGACCUAGUUGUUAGGAUCUUUGUUGGAUUCAAUAUCUAGUUGAAGUAUUCCUUUUCCCUCGAUUUUAUACACAAAAAAUUGGUAAAAGAUUUUAUUUAUUUUUGAAUUUUUUUUACCUUUAAUGUCCAUUGAGUGUUUGGAGUUAUGGGUCUGAUAUUGGAUUCCUAACAAGGAGGUUUUAUUCCAAAUUGUUUUUAUCUCACUGAUUGGAUGUCCCAUGUUUAGUUGUUUUUCAUUGAUCUCUGGAUUGUUUGAAUUUUGAAUCGCUAAUUAAACUUUUGGGGGUUAUGGCAGAAACAUGAUCUUGGUUUUGAAGCUAGAAGACCCUACACAGCCAGGGUAAAUACUAUGAUCUGCUGGUGCUUGGUUUUGAAGAUGGAAAACCCUACGCAGCCAGGAUAAAUACCAUGAUCUGCUUGUGUGCCUAUGUUUAUUGUAAUUUAAUUUCUAUGAGUUAUGCAUUGAUCGAUUUGUUGGUUUGAUCAAUGAGGGUAUAUAUUUGUUGUUGAUGAAGUUAUUAGAAACCAGUUACUGAAAUACUUAAGGGCCCAGUUUUGAUUAGCAAGAACUGGUUGAAGGUGCUAUUACUUAUGGAUUCUAGUUGAUAAUGAUUCCGAACAUUUCCCUGUCCAAUUAAUUGCAUUUCUCUUGUAAACUCAUUUCAAAGCAUUUAUUCUUCCAUAUUCAAGGGAUUAAUAGUUUUGAGUCUUUCGACAAAUUUUAUAUUUGGUCCUGUGUUAGUUGAAGACGUCUAGUUUGUCUCAUGUACUGAGAAACAUUUCCUUUUUUUUGAUAGAUUUGAUUUUUCUGUUCUUAUGAGGUUGUGUUUGGAAACAGAGUCAUGCCGACAACAUGUUUGACAAAAUUUCUAAGUAAAAAUGGGGUGUUGAUGAAUAGAAAUUUACUAUAUUAUCUUUCUAAUGACUUGAGACAUUAAGCGCCAUCUUUGUUUGGUUGUACUGGCAAGAGUGAGCAAUAUAUUGAAGAAAUAUGUAUAUUUCUUUUUCAUGUCUCCUUUUUUUUAUCUUCUCUCAAUAAUCUUUUGGAUGUUGACUUGUAUGUUGAGACUGACAAUAAUUUAGACAGUUUAUAAUUGAUAGAAUGGGUCAAACCUUUUAAAUUUUAGAUUGUUGACAGAUACACUCAUUUUCAUUUCACUUUAAGUGGGAAUGUUGGUUCCUAUGGUAGUUUUUGUUGGAGAGAAAUUAGCAAGUUUAUUCAUGAAAUCCAACCUAAAUGACUCCAUAUGAUCGUGUGUCCGUUAAUAUGUUGGGUGUAUGCAAACUGAUCCACUAUACACAUCUAUCAUAUGUUUAGGACUGAGCACCCACUACAUUUCCUAUUUAUUUCUCUCUUUCUCUCAUAUACUGCACUAAUCACUUGAGGUUUAUUAUCCACGCAGUCAGUUGCUAAGUUACUAAAUUGAUUAUGAACUUUCCCCUAACCCUUUGAAAUCUCAACAUAUAUGUACCAUUAACAAUGUGAUGCUAGAUAUAAUAUCAUAGAUUAUAUUUUCGUGAGAGAGUUUUCUAAGGAAUGUCAUAGCUUAUAUUUUCUUGAGAGAGUUUUCUAAGUUUAGUGUAAAAUUCAUGGCAUGUUGUUAUUUUUAGUGUAACUUCAUGUCACAUUAGUGGUUUCCAAAUAAUUACGGAUAGCUCGUCUCUCUGAAUUUUAAAUUUUAGAUUAUCAAUUUAUUUGAUUUUUAUCAGUCCUCUCGACUUUCUCACGGUUCAUUCAUAUACCUAUGUAUUUAUGUUCUCGUGAAUCCCUUGAUUGUGUGAUAGACUUGAAAGCAUAAUAAACUUGGGUUAGCGCAUUAGUUGUGGAGACUAGAGUGGUCUGUUAGCUACGAUUUUGGAUUGGUAUAAAAUUAUACUAUAAUACGCCCCAUAUGUGAAACUUGCAAUAUUAAGUAGUCUGUCAACUCAUUAUUGCGUAUUUCGCUCCUUUUAGAAAAAGAUAUCAUGAUUUUAUUAUUUAGACUUGGUAUUUGAUUGAAUGGUUGUGCUGACGGUGGAUUAAGAUUGUUUCCACUAUACAUUGUUACCCUUUUCUGACUUAAACAUCUUGUUGUUGCAGGUUGGUUUGUGAUGACAUACUUGGAUUAAGAUUAUUGUUGCCCGACGCCUUAUAAUUCCAUUGGUGGAAAUCAUGUAGCUCCCUCUGCGCACAUCACUUGGAAACUGUAAUCAAGUCUCGCAUCCCAGGCCUCCAGUCGCUAAUUAAUAAAAGUAUUGCUCAACUAGAGGAGAAAUUCAGUCGUUUUGGCAAGACUUUUGCUUCUGAUGCUGGAGGUAAAUUGUACUCAAUUAUGGAGAUUUGUCGUAUUUAUGAUGGAAUUUUCAAAGAACAUCUUGAUGGCAUGUAUGUAGCUGGUAAAUUGGAAUGUAGCUGGUGUUACUUUCUGGUAGAUUGGAAUGUAGCUGCCCCGGCGCACACAUGAACGAUGUUCUUUGUCGUAUGUGAACCAGGGACAAACACAUGAAUGCUCUACUUGAUAUCAAUCAUGAAGUAUUGGCUAAGUUCAUCGUCAUCGGAGGUGCUUAUCGUUUUAUUGUUUAAAAUGUUGUUGUUAGAACUUACUAGCUAGCUCAGGCAUGUAUUGUUAUGAACUCAGAAUUUCAUCCUUUUUUGUGUAGUUUUAAACCCAAUGGAUAAAAUGAAUGAAUGUUGGAUUCACAGUUUGUGUUUAAA